GUGGACUCUGAAGAGGCUCAGGCAAGCUUGAAGUGGACUGCCAAUGGCGUAGUUUGGCAUCAUGGCACCAUCGAAGUCGAAAUCAGCAAGGUAGACAAAGCAAGAAGGAUUCAAGUGAUGGCGUUUAGCUCCGGCGUGUUCGGUCUUUACCGACAAAAGGUCACGAUCGGCUCUCUCUCGACGUACGGGCCCUGGCAAAGAUCCAGUAAUCCCCGACGAUCGCUCUACCGACGUGUUUCUUCCUCCCGACGUACGGCACCCGACACGACCGGAUACCCGACGACCAAUCAUCGACAUACCCGAGAUUCCUCCCUCGUCCUCGACAUCAUCAACAUCGGUGGCAACGACCUCUUCACAAAAGCUCAGUCAACACCACGAUCAGUUUCUUGUGAGCAAACUCAUGUUGUUCGACCCACCUUGAGUUUGAGGGGGCAUGUUAAUGUAUACAGAUCUGUGGUGUAGGUAACAAUAAUGUGGUGGCUCCUAGCAC
rnacentral:misc_RNA from 1 species